rnacentral:rRNA from 1 species
GACGAACGCUGGCGGCGUGCUUAACACAUGCAAGUCGAACGGAAAGGCCCUGCUUUUGUGGGGUGCUCGAGUGGCGAACGGGUGAGUAACACGUGAGUAACCUGCCCUUGACUUUGGGAUAACUUCAGGGAACUGGGGCUAAUACCGGAUAGGAGCUCCUGCUGCAUGGUGGGGGUUGGAAAGUUUCGGCGGUUGGGGAUGGACUCGCGGCUUAUCAGCUUGUUGGUGGGGUAGUGGCUUACCAAGGCUUUGACGGGUAGCCGGCCUGAGAGGGUGAUCGGCCACAUGAGAGCGGGGCCACGGUCCAGGGUCCUACGGGAGGCAGCAGUGGGGAAUGGUCGGCAGUGGGCGCAAGCAUGGCCCAGCCAUCCCGCGUGGGUGGCGGAGGCCUUCGGGGUGUAAAGCCCUUUUGUGGGGAAAGAAAAGCAGCAGGUUAAUACCCCGCUGGUCUGACGGUACCCAAAGAAUAAGCACCGGCUAACUUCGUG